GUGCUUGCUUUGACAGCAUAUAUGCUAAAACCAGAACGAUACGGAGUUUAGCAUGGCCUCUGUGCAAGGAUGACAAGCCAAGAUGCGAAGCGUUCUGUAUUUUU
ensembl:snRNA U6 U6 spliceosomal RNA